UCUUUUAUUCUUGUUAAUUACCGUAUCUCGGUGCUACGUUAUUAUUCCGCUUUUAUUACUGUGAAUAUUAUUUUUGUAGGGGGUUUAUUCCCAACAAGUUUUAUGGUAGCUAACAAUGGAGGCUCAAAAAAGACCAGAAUAGAUGCGACACUAUUAGGCAACCUAAUAAAGGUUACAAUUUUAAACGAAAACGUUUUGGCUAAGAAAUAGGGUGGGUUCGAACAGUUUAUUGGAAAAUAUUCUUAAAAAAGUAUUCCAAAAAAUAAUUUGUAUUUUUAAUGAUAUAUUGUUAGAAUUUUUUAGAAAUAAUUUUGUUCAAAAUGGAUGCUAUUCAAACCCAGAGAAGUAUAAUUGGCGAAUGGCGAUAGAGUUAUUCAUUCAACAAUUCAAACCUCCACAGUUUUUAUUCCAACUACAUUAUGUCAAUAAAAAGUUAUUGCCAAACAAAAUGAAAUAAAUUAAUACUAGUCGUGAGUUUGUAACAUAGAAUAAUAUGAAAAGUAACAAUAAAAGAGAAAUACUAUUAUAUUGUGGGAGUGACAGGCUGCUCGUUGAAGGUCUUCGUUGUUCAUUUUGGAUUUUUCUUUUCUCUUAAAAAAUAACAUGGAGAUCUUCUAUUUCUAGCCAUGGGACUUUCAUCCCCGUGAAUAAAUGAGUUUGUACGUCCAGUUUCUAUUCAAUGGUCUUUUUUAUCUUAGUUAGGAGUCUACUUUGCUAUCCAGAUAUUACAAAUACACAGUAAUGGAGGUAUGAAAAAUUAAGCAGAAGACAUAUAAAUGAGGUUUUUUCGAAAAAUAAGAAAAUGUUAAUACACACGUGGCAAUUUAAUAGUUGGGGUUCACUGCCACAUUGGAGCACAGUUAAAAGUAGGGGGUAAAUUUGAAUACUUUACCAACGGUCCUUUCAUAAAGAAUAAAAUACUACCAUAAGAUGGUCUCGUGAAUUGGAGGUGACCUGUUUCAAAGACCCGUGCUGCUGUCGCCGGGCGGCGCUGACUCCGAUCAUCCUGGAGGAAUGGAACCGUACUAUCAGUGUAUUUUGGCUCAGCACAUCUCAUCGCCCCAGCCCCCAGGUGCUCGCUUUAUUGCGCCACAGAUUUCUGCACGCCACCACUCACCAGAACCAUAAACCAGCAAAGUGGAAGAGGAGCACCAUUCCAUUUCUUCAAGCAAUUAAGCAAUGGAUCUACCAACUUCCCUUCAUUCAUAGCUGUGAAUACCUUGUCAAAUUCUUCUCCAGGAAUUGCUGGCUUCCCAUUCUCCAAGUUACAUCUAGCACUCUCAAUUUCCUUAGGCAAAACAAUCUUCAAUUCUUCCUCAAAUGCACUGAUUUUAUGGAAAAUUGAAGUGCUAGAAU